UACAUUUUUACAAACUCAUAAAUAUCUGAAAGUUCUAAAUACUCAACAAGGUUAAUUAAUUUGAACUAAUUGUAAUGAUUUAAGUUAACAGUACUAAAUACAAUUAAUUACUUUGAGCAUUCGGGUUUACAGUGCAAUAUAGUCGUGUACACUUAUCUUUAUUGAACACAACAAACCCGGUCUGUACUCUCAUAUGUAAACAACAUACCAAGACUGGUCCAUCCCAACAUCUAUCACUUUCCCAAGAUAAUGUGGACCACCCGCUAGCUUCUAGCAAUUAGCAUGCUGUCUACAAGCAGUAUACAUCCCCCUCCGGGACUAAAUUUCUGUAAUUUGCAAAAAUAAUGCAUUUAAAAAUGUUUUGUAAACGGGAAUAUGUUAGCGUUGUCCAGGGAAAAACUAGUGUAUUGUUGAGACUGCUACAUCACAAUUUACUCUGGAAUCAUUAUGCGUAAUGAGUUUCUUCUCCUGGAGUGUUCUUACUAGUGAUUCUUUUUUGCUUGAUUUGUCUGUUAGAAAUACAUAAACUGUUAAUAAUAAUAUAUAAUAAUAUACAGAAUGGUCUGUACUGCUUGCGCGAUACCAUUCCACAUGCGCACAUGACGUUAGUAGUGGGGCGUGUCCAAAGGAGCAGCAGCUAAUAAAUAUGUAAUGACCACCUCAAAACGGCACAAUCUGAAAUGCACUGAAACAGAGAUGGGUAAGAAUCUUUUCCUACAAGCUAUUUCUAGCAAACAACUUUUGAAACAUGUUUUUAUGGAACUCAUACACCUAUUUAACUUGUGAAGAAGCAGGCAUAAAAAAAUAUUACUGCUUUGUGUUUUUACCGGCCUUGCAAUGUAGUUCCCCCUUUUAGACUUUGGGAACACAACCUUGUACUUUCCCUCUCCUGCUUAUGUUACUGCUUGGUGACAGUCUGCAUUUUCACUGUAAUAGAUGGCUGCAAGGUACAACCUGUAAAAAGAUAAACAAGCAAGCAAUACAUUUAUUGUAAAUGUAAAUACUACUUUAUUUAACACAAUUACUAAAAUACUUAAAUACCUGCACAUACCUGUGUCACGGUGUGAACUUAUUCCGUGGGCGGAACCUAAAUUCAAGAAGGUUGGUUCCGCCCGAAGAUAGUUUCCGCCCGGACGACUUAACAGAAACCCCGGAACUUCCUGUAGUCUUUCCAACCGCAAAUCAAGCCAGAUGAGACGCAGGUGCGUAGAAUUAACACAGCGGUUAGCGAUUGGCUGAAGAGGAGAAGGGAAGGAUUAUAAAAGGGACUUUGAAAAUACAAACGGUGUGCUUGGUUGCUGUACUAUUGUGCUGUGUUCUGCUGGCAGUAUCGUGUUGUGCUGGUUUGCUGUGGUUACCACGGAGGGUUUGGAGAUAAAGAACUGGGCAAAGGAAUAUCGCUGAAACGACUCAUUUAGGCAGCUAAGUGAAGACAGUUGCUGUUUUCAAAGCGGAUAGUCGGAAAACCUCAGCAAGUGUGAGUAAACAAACCAAACCAUUGAAAGUGAAUACAAAGGAAUCACCUGAUCUUGUGUUGUGAGUAGCCGUGUAGCAUCUCGGCCCCACCGGAGAGAGAGAGAGGCGUGGGCGAGCCGAGGGACCAUCCUGGAAGUAAAGCUUAUACGUGAGAAUUAUUGCAGCCUGUGAUGUGUAUUGUGGAUAUUAAAGUAUUACCUGAUCUUGUGUUGUGAGUGUCACGAAGAGUUGCGGCCCCACUGAAGAGAGAAGCGUGGGCGAGCCGGGUAGCUACCCUGGAAGCAGAGAUAUAUGUGAGUAACCUUUUAGUCUGUGGUGUGUAUUGUGAAUGCAAAAGGUAUCAUCUGACCCUGUGCUUUGAGUUGCUACGUAGCAUUCCGGCCCCAUUGGAGAGAGAAGCGUGGGCGAGCCGGGGAGCAUCAGGAUCGCCACCGGGGGGUCCGGUGUUCCUUUUCUAUUCAUCGCAUCCCCUCCACCAAGAAAGAUCACCCAACCAACCACACGGCGGGCCCGGGUCGAGUUUGGCUUCGUCCGUAAUUCACGAAGUGUGUGUGCAGUGCCGUGGGUGAGUCUUUGUCUUCAUUUGGGUGUGUACACUUGACAGCUUGCAGUGUCGUGCUGUGUCCGUAUCAAUAGAAGCCAUUUCGAGACCAGAGGAGUCAUGAGGAGAGCCUAGCUGUUGAGAACAGUGGAGUGUGGAUCGAAGAAACUUAUAAAGUGGGAUCUCCUGGAGCGUGUGUUAUCGAAACCUUUUCCCUUGACAAGUGGAUGGGCAGUGGUGAAGCACCUGGAUGGUUGAAGUGAGUAGACCAAUUUACGACCAAGACUCUUGCCAAGGGGCUGUGGGGCUGAUGGCUGUGGGAAAUAAUUACCCUUGUGUGGAGCCUCUUCAAAGGUUCGCCCCUGUUCGAUACGAGUGGAGGAAGAACCAGGGAAGCGUUCGGCUCUACACUGCUGUUCUCGACAUCUCUCCCCCUGCCCUUGGAGGCCGUAAGUUGAAGCACAUUGUGUAAACCUCGUUGUUAAGUCCACUGCCCUCGAGUAAAGCGAAAGACCAAAGUCCAGUCUUGUGUAACACUUACAUUCGCUUACAGCACGAACCUAGAAGAGGAGAAAAGUCCAGUCUUGUGUAACACUUACCUUUGCAUACAGCACGAACUUAGAAGAGGAGAAAGUCCAGUCUUGUGUGACACUUACCUUUGCUUACAGCACAAACCCAGAAGAGGAGAAAGGUCCAGUUUUGUGUAGCACUUACCUUUGCUUACAGCACGAACUUAGAAGAGGAGAAAGUCCAGUCUUGUGCGAUACUUACCUUUGCUUACUGACCAUCAGUUAUGACCGGUAAGAAGCCAGUACAUUUCCAAAAUCUUACAAACUUAAGUGAAUACAUUUUUGUUUGUUUGUUAUUAUUUUUAUUUUUUUUGGAAGAAGCAGUGCACAUCAACCAUGUUGGAAGCAUUCAAGGAUGAGACAAAACGGCAGGAGAAAGAAGUGCAGAACAUUGGAGUACAUCUUGAUGUUGCCAGAUGCUGUCCUGUUAGAAAUUCUUCUUCACGUGGUCCUGGAGGAGGGUGAUGCUGCAUUGUUAAAUCUCUCUUUGGUUUGAUACAAAUUCAGAAGUCUGGUGGACAGGUACACUUCUGAUGGCUUGAUGGUGUAACUAAAUGGGGAACAAAGUCUGAGCCAUCCCAGGAAUUUUAGAAAAUGUUUACACUGCAGCCGGCACUGCAAUGAAGUGUACAAUAACUGCUUACCAGGCUAUGUUGGAAGAGGAAAAUGAGGAGAGAUGCAAGGCUUUUACUCCGAAAACACCCAUCCAGGGUUUUGCAGUUAGUGGUGCAUGAUGCUACAGGAGGAAUAACUCUGUAUAACACAUCUUCUAAAAGUUAAUGUGUGUGUGUGUGCGUGCGUGUGUGUG